rnacentral:tRNA from 1 species
UGUAAAAUAAGCUAAAUAAUAAGCUAUUGGGUUCAUACCCCAAAAAUGAAUGAUAUAAUUCUUUUACAA